UACGGAGGGUGCGAGCGUUAAUCGGAAUUACUGGGCGUAAAGGGUGCGUAGGUGGUUAGAUAAGUUAUCUGUGAAAUUCCUGGGCUUAACCUGGGCAGGUCAGAUAAUACUGUUUGACUCGAGUAUGGGAGAGGGUAGUGGAAUUUCCGGUGUAGCGGUGAAAUGCGUAGAGAUCGGAAGGAACACCAGUGGCGAAGGCGGCUACCUGGCCUGAUACUGACACUGAGGCACGAAAGCGUGGGGAGCAAACAGG
rnacentral:rRNA from 1 species